CAGCCGCCGCGGUAAUACGAAGGGGGCUAGCGUUGCUCGGAAUGACUGGGCGUAAAGGGCGCGUAGGCGGAUUGUUUAGUUAGGCGUGAAAUUCCUGGGCUUAACCUGGGGACUGCGCUUAAUACAGGCAGUCUAGAGUGAGGAAGAGGGUUGUGGAAUUCCCAGUGUAGAGGUGAAAUUCGUAGAUAUUGGGAAGAACACCGGUGGCGAAGGCGGCAACCUGGUCCUUGACUGACGCUGAGGCGCGAAAGCGUGGGGAGCAAACAGGAUUAGAUACCCGCGUAGUCCCUGUCUCUUAUAC
rnacentral:rRNA from 1 species